UUUACAUAGCAUUUUUUGUUGUCUGCAUUUGUUUACUCGCUCGCUACAUUCUCUUAGCAGUAAACUUGUUCACAGAUAUGAUUAAGCAGUGCUUACCAACUAGUUUCAUGAUUCAUAUAUGCAAGAGCAACAUGAAGAAUUAUUAUUUUUUAUAUAUUUUGAACCCCAUUUUCUACUCACACAUGCACAUUUCUUAAAUGAAGUUAGAGAUGGCGUGUACAUGUACACAUAUACAAGUAAAUGUAGCUAAAAUAAGGGAAUAUGAUGAGUAGGGGCCGGACAUUGGAGUUUUCCAGAUGGAGUAAGCUAAGAUGCAAUGCAAAUUAGGACAUGAUGUAUUGUGUGCAUAAUAAUUAAUGCAGACAUAUCUAUGUAUAGUAGGUUGUUUUGCUCAGCGAAAUUUCUGGGUUAUGUUCGAUGUGUCUUUUCACAUAUAUAAUUCUCUGGAAUAAGUGUCACGCCCAAUGAAGUGGACUGGGGAUUUCUCACAGCUUAUUUCUAUUCUGAGAUGUCAUGAUUCAUAUAUAUUUCUCAUAGUAGUCACCUUGUACUACUGAAUAUAUGGUUUGCUCUCUCUACAUGGUGACAUGGAUAUGUAUCACUACUCAAAUUCAAAUCAUGUAUACUAACUAAUGUUGUAAGUAUCUUUCUAUUCCAA
rnacentral:sRNA from 1 species